AGAGUUUGAUCCUGGCUCAGGACGAACGCUGGCGGCGUGCCUAACACAUGCAAGUCGAACGGAACUGUUUUGAAAGAUUUCUUCGGAAUGAAUUUGAUUUAGUUUAGUGGCGGACGGGUGAGUAACGCGUGAGUAACCUGCCUUCAAGAGGGGGAUAACAUUCUGAAAAGAAUGCUAAUACCGCAUGACAUAUCGGAACCACAUGGUUCUGAUAUCAAAGAUUUUAUCGCUUGAAGAUGGACUCGCGUCCGAUUAGUUAGUUGGUGAGGUAACGGCUCACCAAGACCGCGAUCGGUAGCCGGACUGAGAGGUUGAACGGCCACAUUGGGACUGAGACACGGCCCAGACUCCUACGGGAGGCAGCAGUGGGGGAUAUUGCGCAAUGGGGGCAACCCUGACGCAGCAACGCCGCGUGAAGGAUGAAGGUUUUCGGAUUGUAAACUUCUUUUAUUAAGGACGAAAAAUGACGGUACUUAAUGAAUAAGCUCCGGCUAACUACGUGCCAGCAGCCGCGGUAAUACGUAGGGAGCAAGCGUUGUCCGGAUUUACUGGGUGUAAAGGGUGCGUAGGCGGCUUUGCAAGUCAGAUGUGAAAUCUAUGGGCUCAACCCAUAAACUGCAUUUGAAACUGUAGAGCUUGAGUGAAGUAGAGGCAGGCGGAAUUCCCCGUGUAGCGGUGAAAUGCGUAGAGAUGGGGAGGAACACCAGUGGCGAAGGCGGCCUGCUGGGCUUUAACUGACGCUGAGGCACGAAAGCGUGGGUAGCAAACAGGAUUAGAUACCCUGGUAGUCCACGCUGUAAA
rnacentral:rRNA from 1 species